AACGAACGCUGGCGGCGUGGAUAAGACAUGCAAGUCGAACGGGACUAAAUCUGUAGCAAUACAGGUUUAGUUUAGUGGCGAACGGGUGCGUAACACGUGGGCAAUCUGCCGAGAAGUGGGGGAUAGCUCGCCGAAAGGCGAAUUAAUACCGCAUAUGGUCAGCUAAGACAUCUUAGCGACAUCAAAGCCGGGGCAACCUGGCGCUUCUUGAUGAGCCCGCGGCCUAUCAGCUAGUUGGUGAGGUAACGGCUCACCAAGGCUAUGACGGGUAGCUGGUCUGAGAGGACGACCAGUCACACUGGAACUGAGACACGGUCCAGACACC
rnacentral:rRNA from 1 species